UACAAAUAGUAUUGAUACUUUAUGAUUUAUUUAUAUUUAUUUUGAAUUUUCUUUUAUUGGUUAUUUGAGUUUUAAUUAGUGUUGCCUUUUUAACUUUAUUAGAGCGUAAGGUUUUAGGUUAUAUUCAGAUUCGAAAGGGUCCAAAUAAGGUAGGUGUUGUUGGAAUUCCUCAGCCAUUUAGAGAUGCUAUUAAGUUAAUUUGUAAGGAGCAGCCAAUUCCUAUUAUAUCUAAUUACCUACUUUAUUAUUUUUCCCCUGUUUUUAAUUUAAUGAUUUCUUUAGCCGUUUGAGUAAUUUUUCCUUAUUUAACUUAUAUGUGUUCUUUUUCUUAUGGAUUUUUAUUUUUUUUAUGUUGUACUAGAUUAGGUGUUUAUACUGUUAUAAUUGCUGGUUGAUCUUCUAAUUCAAAUUAUUCAUUAUUAGGUUCUCUUCGUUCUGUUGCUCAAACAAUUUCUUAUGAAGUUAGUUUAGCUUUAAUUUUAUUGUCUUUAAUUAUUUUAAUUGGUAGUUUUAAUAAGUUUGAUUUUAUAAACUAUCAGCUUUAUUGUUGAUUUAUUAUUAUUUCUUUUCCUUUAGCUUUAGCUUGUUUUGCGUCUUGUUUAGCUGAAACUAAUCGUACUCCUUUUGAUUUUGCUGAAGGGGAAUCUGAGUUAGUUUCAGGAUUUAAUAUUGAGUAUGGUGCGGGUGGUUUUACUUUAAUUUUUUUAGCUGAAUAUACUAGAAUUGUCUUCAUAAGAAUGUUAUUGGCUUUAAUUUUUUUAGGCGGUGAUUUUUAUUCUUUUAUAUUUUUUAUUAAGCUUGCUAUUAUAUCUUUUGGUUUUAUUUGGGUUCGUGGGACAUUACCACGGUUUCGUUAUGAUAAAUUAAUGUACUUAGCUUGAAAAAGUUUUUUACCUUUAUCUUUGAAUUUUUUUAUUUUCUUUGUUGGUUUAAAGAUUUUAUUUAUCUCAUUUGUUUAGUGAAA